rnacentral:tRNA from 6 species
GGGCAAUUAGCUCAGUUGGUUAGAGCGCCACCUUUACACGGUGGAUGUCGGGGGUUCGAGUCCCUCAUUGCCCACCA